rnacentral:rRNA from 1 species
UACGGGAGGCAGCAGUGGGGAAUAUUGCACAAUGGGCGCAAGCCUGAUGCAGCCAUGCCGCGUGUAUGAAGAAGGCCUUCGGGUUGUAAAGUACUUUCAGUCGUGAGGAAGGUGUUAAGGUUAAUAACCUUAGCAAUUGACGUUAGCGACAGAAGAAGCACCGGCUAACUCCGUGCCAGCAGCCGCGGUAAUACGGAGGGUGCGAGCGUUAAUCGGAAUUACUGGGCGUAAAGGGCACGCAGGCGGUUAAUUAAGUUGGAUGUGAAAUCCCCGGGCUUAACCUGGGAAUGGCAUUCAAGACUGGUUAGCUAGAGUCUUGUAGAGGGGGUAGAAUUCCAUGUGUAGCGGUGAAAUGCGUAGAGAUGUGGAGGAAUACCGGUGGGCGAAGGCGGCCCCUGGGACAAAGACUGACGCUCAUGUGCGAAAGCGUGGGGAGCAAACAGGGAUUAGAUACC